rnacentral:rRNA from 1 species
UACGUAGGGGGCAAGCGUUGUCCGGAUUUAUUGGGCGUAAAGAGCGUGUAGGCGGCCAGGUAGGUCAGCUGUGAAAACUCGAGGCUCAACCUCGAGACGCCGGUUGAAACCAUCUGGCUAGAGUCCGGAAGAGGAGAGUGGAAUUCCUGGUGUAGCGGUGAAAUGCGUAGAGAUCAGGAAGAACACCGGUGGCGAAAGCGUUCUGCUAGACCUGUACUGACACUGAGGGACGAAAGCUAGGGGAGCGAAUGGG